rnacentral:rRNA from 1 species
GACGGGGCCCGCACAAGCGGUGGAGCAUGUGGUUUUAAUUCGAAGCAACGCGCAGAACCUUACCAGCCUUUGACAUGGCAGGACGAUUUUCAGAGAUGGAUCUCUUCCAGCAAUGGACCUGCACACAGGUGCUGCAUGGCUGUCGUCAGCUCGUGUCGUGAGAUGUUGGGUUAAGUCCCGCAACGAGCGCAACCCUCGCCUUUAGUUGCCAUCAUUCAGUUGGGCACUCUAAAGGGACUGCCGGUGAUAAGCCGCGAGGAAGGUGGGGAUGACGUCAAGUCCUCAUGGCCCUUACGGGCUGGGCUACACACGUGCUACAAUGGCGGUGACAGUGGGAUGCAAAGGGGCGACCCCUCGCAAAUCUCAAAAAGCCGUCUCAGUUCGGAUUGUACUCUGCAACUCGAGUGCAUGAAGUUGGAAUCGCUAGUAAUCGCGCAUCAGCCAUGGCGCGGUGAAUACGUUCCCGGGCCUU